rnacentral:tRNA from 1 species
CGUUCCAUGGCCAAACUGGUGAAGGUAUCGCCGAUAAGAGGCGAAGAUGCUGGUUCGAGUCCCGUUGGAAAGG